rnacentral:tRNA from 1 species
GCCGCAGUAGCUCAGUUGGUAGAGCACGGCAUUCGUAAUGCUGGGGUCGGGGGUUCGAGUCCCUCCUGCGGCACCA